CGGGCGAGUGGUAAACGGGUGAGUAAUGCCUCGGAGCGGGCCCCGUCCCGGGGGAUAAGGCACCAAAAGCUGCGCUGAUACCGCAUACGAUCUGUGGAUGAAACCGGGGGACCUUCUGGCCUCGAGCGAUUGGAGCGGCCGAUGUCAGAUUACGUAGUUGGUGGGGUAAAGGCUCACCAAGCCGACGAUCUGUCGCUGGUCUGAUAAGACGACCACCCACCCUGGGACUGAGACACGGCCCAGACUCCUAGGGGAGGGAGCGGUGGGGAAUUUUGGACAAGGGGGGCGACCCUGAUCCGGCUUUGCCUCGUGCAGGAAUAAGGCCUUCGGGUUGUAAACUGCUUUUGUACGAAACAAAAAGGCUCUGGUUAAUACCUGGGGCACAUGACGGUACCGUAAGAAUAACCACCGGCUAACUACCUGCCAGCAGCCGCGGUAAUACCUACGGUGCGAGCGUUAAUCGAAAUUACUGGGCUUAAAGCGUGCACUGGCGUUGCUGUAGGACAGGUGUGAGAUCCCCGAGCUUAACCUGGGAAUGGCGCUUGUGACUGCAGUGCUGGAGUGUGGCAGAGGGGGAUGGAAUUCCGCGUGUAGCAUUGAAAUGCGUAGAUAUGCAGACGAACUCCNAUGGCGAACGCAAUCCCCUGGGCCUGCACUGACUCUCAUGCACGAACGCGUGGGGAGCAAACUUGAUUAGAUACCCUGGUAGUCCACGCACCUAAACGAUGUCAGCUGGCUGUCGGGUCUUUUACUGACUCAAUGACGAAGCUACACGUGAAGACGACCGCCUGCGCAGUACGGGCGGCAUGUUGAAUCUCCACAAGAAUUGACGGGACCCUCACAGCCGUGGAUGAUGGUGGUUACAUUCGAUGCAACGCG
rnacentral:rRNA from 1 species